GUAGUCUCUGUGGUAGCACAGAUACUAAAAUUGUAACGACACAGAGAAGAUCUGCAUGGAUCAUGUACAAGGCUGACACACACAUUUGUGAAACAUUCCAUAUUUAU
rnacentral:snRNA from 1 species